AAUUGACAUUGACUGAGACUGUUUUGCUGGUUCUAGAAAGGUUGCUGUUGUGAACCGAAUUUUGGGAAAAGAUCCAUAAGCUGGAAAUGUAACUAGUUUUGUUUAGAGAUACUAUGGGGAUGAGGGUGAUACCAGAACUUAAGUAGAACCAAAGAGAAAUCUUAUGGAAAAAAUUUAAACAUACUGCAUAUAUUUUACCUGCUGGAAAAUAAACCAAUAGGUAUGAAGGUAUUUGCAAUAUCGGUGCUUCUUGAUGCAUACUCACUUAUUUCACUGAAGACAAAUUGGUCUGUCACUUAUUUAAGUAAUUAACUUUCAGUAUAGAAAAUUAAAUUGAUUAAGAUUACAAAGUUCUCUGAACAAUA